rnacentral:rRNA from 1 species
GCGGGAAUACGGAGGCGGAAUUUUUCGGAAGGAAGCCUUUGUGUUUUAGCGGCGGACGGGUGAGUAACGCGUGGAUAACCUGCCCCAUACCGGGGGAUAACAGUUAGAAAUGACUGCUAAUACCGCAUAAGCGCACGGCGCCGCAUGGCGCAGUGUGAAAAACUCCGGUGGUAUGGGAUGGAUCCGCGUCUGAUUAGCUAGUUGGCGGGGUGACGGCCCACCAAGGCAGCGAUCAGUAGCCGACCUGAGAGGGUGGCCGGCCACAUUGGGACUGAGACACGGCCCAAACUCCUACGGGAGGCAGCAGUGGGGAAUAUUGCACAAUGGGGGAAACCCUGAUGCAGCAACGCCGCAUGAAUGAAGAAGUAUUUCGCUCUCCCAAGCUCUAUCAGCAGGGAAGAAGAAGGACGAUACCUGACUAAGAAGCCCCGGCUAACUACGUGCCAGCAGCCGCGGUAAUACGUAGGGGGCGAGCGUUAUCCGGAUUUACUGGGUGUAAAGGGAGCGUAGACGGUUUUUCAAGUCUGAAGUGAAAGCCCGCGGCUCAACUGCGGAACGGCUUUCGAAACUGAGUAACUGGAGUGCUGGAGGGGCAGGCGGAAUUCCUGGUGUAGCGGUGAAAUGCGUA